rnacentral:lncRNA from 1 species
GUGGAGGUGGAUGUUUGAGAUGUUAAGUGUAUGGAGGUGGAGGAAUUGCUGAGAGGGCAGAGCGGAACUGCUGAAGAUAGCAUCCAUGUGAUCUUCCUCACCUGUUCCCAGAGCUGGGCACUCCUUGGAGAAGCUUUCCUGUGGACACAGACACCCACUUGCAGUGUCUAUGGUCACCCUGCCUUGAGAAAAGGGGCCUGUCAGAAGUAUUGACAACCCCCUUAACUUGUCCAUCUAGGAUAUGACACCACAGAUGUAAACUGGCAAUGGAGGAUCGCUAUGCUUUUAAUUACAAUCAUCAGAGAAGAUCAUAAUGCAUAAAUAGAAAGUUACAAUAAUCAAAGAAGAUCGUGAUGUAUAAAUAGAAAAAUCAUGAUCCUGGAAAAAGAGAUAACUCAAAGUAGAGAAAAGAAUUUUAAAAACUGAAGAUUCUUAGAGAUACAAGAAGAUGCUGUAUUAGUCUAUUUUCACACUGCUAUAACGAACUACCUGAGACUGGGUCAUUUAUGAAGAAAAGAUGUUUAAUUGACUUAUAGUUCCACACUACUGGGGAGGCCUCAGGAGACUUACAGUCUUGGUGGAAGGCCAAGGAGAAACAAGGCAUGUCUUACAUGGUGAUGAGAGAGAGCGAGAGCAAAGGGGAAGAGCCACACGCUUAUUAAACAACAAGGUCACAUGAGAAUUCUAUCAGGAGAACAGCAAGGGGGAAGUGCAGCCCCAUUGAUUCAAUUACCUCCCAGCAGGCUACCCCCAACACAUGGGGAUUACAAUUCCACAUGAAAUUUGAGUGGGGAUACAGAGCCAAACCAUAUCAGUCGCACAUACAUAAAUGAGAACAAUCUAUUAUAAUAAAUGAUUAUUUAGGAAAAAAAGUAGUUGUGGAAAUAAGAAUUUCAAUACAUGACUGAAUAAAUUAAUAUUCAAUUAAUUUCAAUAAAUGACUGAAAAAAUGACUAAAUAUUAGAAAAAUUAGAGUAAAAGUCAAGCUGAUGAUCUUGACAAAAUCAAGGAACUCUCCCAGGAUGUAGAGAAAAAGGGCUGUUAAAAAAAGUAUAUUAAAAAAGGCAUGAGAUGUAAAAGACUGAAGAGGUUCAGCAUCCCUCCCUAUAGAGUUUCUACUGGGGAUGGGAUAAUAAUGAUAACGGUAAUACAAAUCUUGAAGUCAAUUUCACUAAACCAAAGAAAAACUUAAGUAUGCUGAUAAAAAGUGACACUGAGUUCUGAGAAGGAUAAAUGAAAAUAAAUAAAUAAAUAAAUAAAUAAAUAAAUAAAUAAAUAAAUAAAAGUCCUAUCACCAAAUACAACUUGUGAAAAUCGAGAACACUAAAGGGGUAGAAAACAUCCUGACUGCUUCCAGAAAGGAGGGAGAGAAAACAAAUGAAACCAACCAACCAACCAACCAACCAACCAACCAACCAUCCAUCCAUCCAACCAAACAACCGAUCAGACAAACAAAAGCAUGUUCCUUGAAAAUGCAUGAGAAUCAAUAGAGCACGGAAGAUAUAAGUACAAUUACAGAAAUGAAUGUUGAAAACCUUGACAAUGUAAAACUUAAUCUUUUAAGGGAAAAGAAGUGGAAUGUAGUUCAAGUUUUAAAUUCCUCAUCUUUCAAUCUAAUAUUGACGAAAUAGGAUUUUACAUGUGUUCAGUGAAGAUAAAAGUGACUAUCUCAGAGAAGCAGAAUUCGUGAGAUAGGGGAGAACUUUUCCUUUUCUUUUUAGAGUUGGGUAAUAGUUUUUUUUUUAACCAUUUGCAGAUAUUAAUGAUUCAAAAAGAAUCACCAGGAGGCAGUCUCCUUACACAGAGGUUCAGCCCUUCUGCUCAGUCAUGUUUUGUGGCCAUGUGCCCUGGUUAGAGCCUCUCCCAGGCCUGAACGGUCAGGUUGGCCUCAUGUCCUUGUGGACUAGGAACUUGGGGUGCUUUGCUUACUUCCCUUGUGGAAGUGCAUGGUAUUUGGAAGAGCAGUGAGUCAAGAGGGAAAAAUUGGGGCGCUAACUCACUCGGUUUGUUAUUAAUAGUUUAACAGUUCAGGCGCAGUGGCUCACGCCUGUAAUCCCA